rnacentral:rRNA from 1 species
CGGAAAGGGGGGGGGUGCUAUACAUGCAGUCGAGCGAGCUUGCCUAGAUGAAUUUGGUGCUUGCACCAAAUGAAACUAGAUACAAGCGAGCGGCGGACGGGUGAGUAACACGUGGGUAACCUGCCCAAGAGACUGGGAUAACACCUGGAAACAGAUGCUAAUACCGGAUAACAACACUAGACGCAUGUCUAGAGUUUAAAAGAUGGUUCUGCUAUCACUCUUGGAUGGACCUGCGGUGCAUUAGCUAGUUGGUAAGGUAACGGCUUACCAAGGCAAUGAUGCAUAGCCGAGUUGAGAGACUGAUCGGCCACAUUGGGACUGAGACACGGCCCAAACUCCUACGGGAGGCAGCAGUAGGGAAUCUUCCACAAUGGACGCAAGUCUGAUGGAGCAACGCCGCGUGAGUGAAGAAGGGUUUCGGCUCGUAAAGCUCUGUUGGUAGUGAAGAAAGAUAGAGGUAGUAACUGGCCUUUAUUUGACGGUAAUUACUUAGAAAGUCACGGCUAACUACGUGCCAGCAGCCGCGGUAAUACGUAGGUGGCAAGCGUUGUCCGGAUUUAUUGGGCGUAAAGCGAGUGCAGGCGGUUCAAUAAGUCUGAUGUGAAAGCCUUCGGCUCAACCGGAGAAUUGCAUCAGAAACUGUUGAACUUGAGUGCAGAAGAGGAGAGUGGAACUCCAUGUGUAGCGGUGGAAUGCGUAGAUAUAUGGAAGAACACCAGUGGCGAAGGCGGCUCUCUGGUCUGCAACUGACGCUGAGGCUCGAAAGCAUGGGUAGCGAACAGGAUUAGAUACCCUGGUAGUCCAUGCCGUAAACGAUGAGUGCUAAGUGUUGGGAGGUUUCCGCCUCUCAGUGCUGCAGCUAACGCAUUAAGCACUCCGCCUGGGGAGUACGACCGCAAGGUUGAAACUCAAAGGAAUUGACGGGGGCCCGCACAAGCGGUGGAGCAUGUGGUUUAAUUCGAAGCAACGCGAAGAACCUUACCAGGUCUUGACAUCCAGUGCAACCUAAGAGAUUAGGAGUUCCCUUCGGGGACGCUGAGACAGGUGUGCAUGGCUGUCGUCAGCUCGUGUCGUGAGAUGUUGGGUUAAGUCCCGCAACGAGCCGCAACCCUUGUCCAUUAGUUGCCAUCAAUUAAGUUUG